UAGUCCACGCCGUAAACGAUGAUUACUCGUUGUGCACAAUACAUCGUGCGUGACUGAGCGAAAGCAUUAAGUAAUCCACCUGGGGAGUACGUUCGCAAGAAUGAAACUCAAAGGAAUUGACGGGGGCCCGCACAAGCGGAGGAACAUGUGGUUUAAUUCGAUGAUACGCGAGGAACCUUACCUGGACUUAAAUGUAGAUUGCUCGGUUUAGAAAUAGAUCUUUCCUUCGGGACAAUUUACAAGGUGCUGCAUGGUUGUCGUCAGCUCGUGCCGUGAGGUGUCGGGUUAAGUCCCAUAACGAGCGCAACCCCUAUCGUUAGUUGCUAGCAGGUAAUGCUGAGGACUCUAGCGAGACUGCCACCGUAGGGUGAGAGGAAGGUGGGGAUGACGUCAAAUCAGCACGGCCCUUACGUCCAGGGCUACACACGUGUUACAAUGGCCAGUACAAAGGGCAGCUACCAGGUGACUGGAUGCUAAUCUCAAAAGCUGGUCUCAGUUCGGAUCGG
rnacentral:rRNA from 1 species